AACUUUGGUGUUUAUGACGUCAUAAACACGAACAAGUUUGGUGUUUAUGACGUCGAUAUUCGACGUAAUAAACACGAACAAGUUUUGUGUUUAUGACGUCGAUAUUCGACGUCAUAAACAGGAUCAACUUUGGUUGUUAUGACGUCCAUAUUCGACGUCAUAAACACGAACAAGUUUGGUGUUUAUGACGUCGAUAUUCGACGUCAUAAACACGAUCAACUUUGGUGGUUAUGACGUCGAUAUUCGACGUC